CAGCCGCCGCGGUAAUGCGUAGGUGGCAAGCGUUGUCCGGAAUUAUUGGGCGUAAAGCGCGCGCAGGCGGUUAGAUAAGUCUGAAGUUAAAGGCUGUGGCUUAACCAUAGUACGCUUUGGAAACUGUUUAACUUGAGUGCAAGAGGGGAGAGUGGAAUUCCAUGUGUAGCGGUGAAAUGCGUAGAUAUAUGGAGGAACACCGGUGGCGAAAGCGGCUCUCUGGCUUGUAACUGACGCUGAGGCUCGAAAGCGUGGGGAGCAAACAGGAUUAGAUACCCGUGUAGUCCCUGUCUCUUAUACA
rnacentral:rRNA from 1 species